AACCGAAAAGUUAUCGCUGUUUGAAAAUGAGCUAUUUUUGCUAUUAUCGAUAAUUAGUAAAAAUAGCUCACUUUCAAAUCGCGAUAACUCUUCGGUUUU